GUGGGGAAUAUUCCGCAAUGGACGAAAGUCUGACGGAGCAACGCCGCGUGAGUGAUGAAGGUUUUCGGACUGUAAAGCUCUGUUGUUUGGGACGAAAGUGCCUGUUGCGAACAGUUACGGGUAGUGACGGUACUAAACGAGGAAGCCACGGCUAACUACGUGCCAGCAGCCGCGGUAAUACGUAGGUGGCAAGCGUUGUCCGGAAUUAUUGGGCGUAAAGAGCAUGUAGGCGGGAAUCUAAGUCUGUUGUGAAAAUGCGGGGCUCAACCCCGUAUUGCGAUGGAAACUGGGUUUCUUGAGUGCAGGAGAGGAAAGGGGAAUUCCCAGUGUAGCGGUGAAAUGCGUAGAUAUUGGGAGGAACACCAGUGGCGAAGGCGCCUUUCUGGACUGUGUCUGACGCUGAGAUGCGAAAGCCAGGGUAGCGAACGGGAUUAGAUACCCGAGUAGUCC
rnacentral:rRNA from 1 species